rnacentral:rRNA from 1 species
GGAGGUAUCAGAAGUGAGAAUGCUGACAUGAGUAACGUAAAAUAAGUGAGAUUCUUAUUGGCCGAAAACCCAAGGGAUCCUACGCAAUGUUAAUCAACGUAGGGUAAGCCGGCCCCUAAGGCGUAGCUGAAGAGUGAAGUCGAUGGGAAAAAGGUUAAUAUUCCUUUGCUGCUUAUAUGAACGAAGGAGGUACGGAGAAUGUUAGGUAGGCCUGGCGAAUGGUUGUCCAUGUGAAAGUA